rnacentral:lncRNA from 1 species
GACCCGGGGAGGAAGGCCGGGGAGGGGGAGGGGCGGCCCUGGCCCCCGGCUCCGCUCUAGCCCCGGCCGACUCGCAGCCCAGUUUCUUCCCAAGUCCCGCCCCUACCCCCGGGCGCCGCGGCGGCGGCUGCUCUCCUCUUUGUAACCGAGGAGUCAAGAAAUGUGAGAAACGUGCCCUGUGUUACUUAUUUGGGAGCCGAAAAUUUAUGCCCAGCUGAAAGCGCCCGGGGAAAUAUUACAUCAGAUGAAAUGACAAUGAUUAAAAUCAGCUUCUUCCCCGCCCCCUCCCGAGCCCGGAGGAGGCCCGGGCGCCGCGUGGCCGGCCGGCGGGGGGCGGGGGGCUGGGCGGCGGAGGGCGCGGGGGCCUGGGCGCACCGCUCCCGGGAGGGUCCUGGCAGAGGCCCCGGCGGGAAGGCGCGGGCUCCGGGAGAGGUGGGUGGGGAUCGCCCGGCGAAAGCAGGGGAAACAGCGCAUUUUGUCGCCGAGCGCGGCAGGCGCGGGCGCGCGGAGCUAAUUGCGACUCUAAUCCUCUGCCCCGCGGCUCAGCCGAGCCCGGAGCCAGGAGUCGCCGCGCGCUCCCGCUCGCGCUCGCCGCGCUGGGUAAUUUGGAGCCGGAUCGCUGCCCUCUGCGUCCCGACUCGGCCGCGACGGGGCACGGGCUGCAGGCUGGGGUGGGGGGCUGGUUUUCUCGCCAGCAAUCGGGGAAGGCCGCUGGAGAGAGAGGAGGGAGGAGAAGAGGUGGGAGCGGCGGGAGGGCAGCCGGAGAGCGGCGCGAAGAGGAGGCGGCGGCGGCGGCCGCGAGGAGGGGAGGAGGCGAGGGGAGGGCGGGGAGGGGAGGCCCCGGCGCGCCGCGCCGCGAGGGGCCGCGCGAAGCGGGGGCCGGGGCGGGAGGGGUGGGUGGGGGGAGGGUUGGGGGCGAGAGAGAAAGUAACUCCAGGACGAGACCGGAGCGACCCGCGCGGCGAGCAGAGGCGGCGAGGCUGCGCCCGGCGCCCGAGACCGGCGGCUGCGGGGGGCGGGGGCUGCGCCCGAGCCGGAUCCGCCGCUCCGGCUCCGAGUGGUCUCGGGGAAAGGGCCGUUGUCCAGCACAGAUGCGUCUGUCAGAGGGAGCGCUGACGGUUCGGGUCAAGGCGUAAAGCCUGGGGCUUCCAAUG